AGAGUUUGAUUCUGGCUCAGGAUGAACGCUGGCGGCGUGCCUAACACAUGCAAGUCGAACGAAGCAUGCCGGAGGAAGUUUUCGGAUGGAAUCCGGGAUGACUGAGUGGCGGACGGGUGAGUAACGCGUGGGUAACCUGCCCUGUACAGGGGGACAACAGUUAGAAAUGACUGCUAAUACCGCAUAAGCGCACAGGACCGCAUGGUCCGGUGUGAAAAACUCCGGUGGUACAGGAUGGACCCGCGUCUGAUUAGGUAGUUGGCGGGGUAACGGCCCACCAAGCCGACGAUCAGUAGCCGACCUGAGAGGGUGACCGGCCACAUUGGGACUGAGACACGGCCCAAACUCCUACGGGAGGCAGCAGCGCCGAAUAUUGCACAAUGGGGGGAACCCUGAUGCAGCGACGCCGCGUGAGUGAACGAAUAUUUCGGUAUGUAAAGCUCUAUCAGCAGG
rnacentral:rRNA from 1 species